rnacentral:rRNA from 1 species
CCGAAAAUGUAACGGGGCUAAAGAAUUGUACCGAAGCUAUGGACGCGUUUACGCGUGGUAGGAGAGCAUUGUGUUUACCGAUGAAGGCGUACCGAUAAGGAGCGCUGGAGGUCCCACAAGAGCUGAUGAUGGCAUGAGUAGCGAUAAGGAAUGUGAGAAUCAUUCCCGCCGAAAAUCUAAGGGUUCCUGGGCCAGGUGACUCCGCCCAGGGUUAGUCGGAUCCUAAGGUGAGGCCGAAAGGCGUAAUCGAUGGAU